UCACAGCUCUAACCUGGCAA
rnacentral:miRNA from 1 species